rnacentral:rRNA from 1 species
GACUCUCGGCAACGGAUAUCUUGGCUCUCGCAUCGAUGAAGAACGCAGCAAAAUGCGAUACUUGGUGUGAAUUGCAGAAUCCCGUGAACCAUCGAGUUUUUGAACGCAAGUUGCGCCCGAAGCCAAUAUGCUGAGGGCACGUCUGCCUGGGCGUCACG